rnacentral:rRNA from 1 species
AAAUCAGUUAUCGUUUAUUUGAUAGUACCUUACUACUUGGAUACCUGUGGUAAUUCUAGAGCUAAUACAUGCUAAAAACCCCGACUUCGGAAGGGGUGUAUUUAUUAGAUAAAAAACCAAUGCCCUUCGGGGCUCCUUGGUGAUUCAUAAUAACUUCUCAGAUCGCAUGGCCUUGCGCCGGCGACGGUUCAUUCAAAUUUCUGCCCUAUCAACUUUCGAUGGUAAGGUAUUGGCUUACCAUGGUUUCUACGGGUAACGGGGAAUUAGGGUUCGAUUCCGGAGAGUUAGCCUGAGAAACGGCUAACACAUCCAAGGAAGGCAGCAGGCGCGCAAAUUACCCAAUCCUGAUACAGGGAGGUAGUGACAAUAAAUACUGAUACAGGGCUCUUUUGGGUCUUGUAAUCGGAAUGAGUACAAUUUAAACCUCUUAACGAGGAACAAUUGGAGGGCAAGUCUGGUGCCAGCAGCCGCGGUAAUUCCAGCUCCAAUAGCGUAUAUUAAAGUUGUUGCAGUUAAAAAGCUCGUAGUUGAACCUUUGGCCUGGCUGGCAGGUCCGCCUCACCGCGUGCACUUGUCCGGCCGGGCCUUUUCUUCUGGAGAACCGCAUGCCCUUCACUGGGUGUGUUGGGGACCAGGACUUUUACUUUGAAAAAAUUAGAGUGUUCAAAGCAGGCCUUUGCUCGAAUAUUACAGCAUGGAAUAAUAAAAUAGGACGUGCGGUUCUAUUUUGUUGGUUUCUAGGACCGCCGUAAUGAUUAAUAGGGACAGUCGGGGGCAUCAGUAUUCAAUUGUCAGAGGUGAAAUUCUUGGAUUUAUUGAAGACUAACUACUGCGAAAGCAUUU